GGUUCACCAGCGGCACUUUCAUCAAUUAAUUGAUGAUUAAAGUAAUUAAAUGCCUCAUAACUGGAUUGAAUAUGAAUUUAUUUUAUGUCUUGGAAGCGUGCUAGCUGUUCCUUAAAAAAUAUAUAUAUAUAUAUAUGUGUAUUGUCCAGUUAGCAGAUCCGACUCUUCACUGCGACGCCUCCGAUUGUGCCAUCUCAGCAGCUCCUGAUGAGCAAAUCUGAUUGAGGCUGGUUGCUGGAUUGAUGACGAUCCUUGUGAUGGAUUUAUUGAAGUGUAGAUUUACAAGUUCUGAAAAUAGAAAAAUGCUGAGAAGAACUGCCGUCUUCCUCGUCUCUGUCAAGAGUCACUCUCUGCUCUGCCUGGUGGUUUCACACAAAUCAAAAGCAACAAGAGGAGCUGAUUGGAGGAGUAACUGUAGCGUGAGCUACACCUGGGUCCAGUGAGCUCAGUCACAAAGGUGCCUCCUUUCUGCAGCUGACCUCACGUUGCUCAGUGUCCUGCUUCUGAUAACAGCUUCCUGAAGUUUUACUUUCCACGCACUGCCACAUGUCCAUCAACACUUUGCAUGAGUAACUCGCUGACAAACACGUUCUCUUUAAUUAUGUCCUGUAGAAUAAAUGAUUAGUACCUCAUGUAGUGCCCCUCAGUUUUAUUGCAGCCUAUGAGCUAGGUUGUGACAGGUUUAACAGCCACAAUCGUCCCAGCAGAUUCAUCUGAGACUCUGCAGGCUUCAGACGGAUCAAGAAUGGCUUGUUUGGAAGGGAGAAAAGCCUCUUCUCUUUUUUUAAAUAAAGAGAAGAUGGCACAGCUUAGGUUUGCAAAGCAGCAUCUGAACAAGCGACAGAGGUUUUGGAACAAUGUCCUUUGGAGAAAUGACACCAAAGUGGAGACGUUUCAAUGCCUCGUUUGAGAAAACCAAACACGGCAGCGUCUCAAAGCAACUGUCAGCACGGUGGUGGACCUGUGAGGAUUUGGCUUGUUUGCAGCCACAGAACCUGGACACCGUGCAGUCAUUGAGUCAUAACAUCAAAUAUGAGGCUAAAGCCAGGUCCAAACCGGGCCAUGCAUCAGGACAAUGAUCCCAAACACAGCAGCAAAUCUAGAACUGAUUGGUUCAAAAAUAAAAGGAUCCAGGUUCUGCAACAGCCCAGUCAAAGUCCAACUAAGUUUAAGUGGAAUGGCAGGAACUCGAGCAGUGCAUAAAUGAAUGUCUGCAAACCUCAGGGAACUGAAUUGAUGUUGUAAAGAAAAACUGUCCUGAAUUUGUCCACAUUGGUGUAAAGAACUAACAAAGUCACACAGAAACACAGAAAACUGUUUCUUCAAGUUGCUGCUGCUAAAGUUGGUUCUACAAGCUCUCAUGCAAGACUCUGAGUCUUAUGCAAACUCUUUUUCAAAUGCAUGGAUAUCUGCAUUGAAAUAUAUCUGGAAUCUGCUGGCAAGGGACACGAUUGUUCAUACCAGGAACUUUCUGCUCUGCAUCCAGUCUCUGUUUUAGCUCUGAGCAAACUCUGGAUGCAUGCAGAAGUCUGCAUUCUUGCACAACUCCUGGCACACGGAACAAGAAGAUUUAAACCAGAUAUUUGUGCAAGCUAGGCCCUGGGUCCACAGAUUGCCACUACUGUAAAUUUAUUUUUAAAAAAAUGUUGCAGUAUUCCUGCCAAGUUCGCACCUUCAUGCAAAAACUCUUGUCAAAUACAAGUAAACUUCAAAUGACAGUAAAAGUGAAUUGGGCUUGUCAUUUUUAUGCCAUUGUGUUGUAUGAAAGUCCAGAAAUGAAACUUCUAGAAACGAAUAGUUAUUUUCUUCUUUAAAUCAUUUGUUUGUUUUACUUGACAAGUCAGUUAAUCAGUGAAUUUCCACCUUGCUUGCUUGUCCGACCAAUGGUCCAACUUUUAAGUUGGCAAAUUAAUCAGCAAAUUGCGUCGGCAGUAAAUCAUUCAAAACAUAAAUGAGUCUUCUCAGGAUCCCUUAAUGACCUGCCGUUCGUCUGGAUGAAUUAUGUAAUGUCUGUUUUCCAAGAAGCGGGUAUAAAAGUGUCAGUCAGGCAGUCAGAAACGGAGAGCGAAUCAUCUCGCGCUCUGAUCUUUU